AAGUCGUAACAAGGUUUCCGUAGGUGAACCUGCGGAAGGAUCAUUAACACGAAUUAUUAUCCACUAUUUCAACCAAACGUGAACUUUUCCCCUCCCUAGUGCUUUAUUUUAUUGCAUUAGGCUAAACUGUCGUUCUAUACUAAUCCUAUAGAACUUACACACCCCAUACAAACAAACAAACUUAUGGUCUUGACUUAAAACUCAUUACCACACCAUAUAUCCGAACAUGACCUGUAGUCCUAGUUGACUCACUCGGUCUGUUCUGUUCUACUAACGAACUGAAAAGAGAAAAUACAACUCUUAACAAUGGAUAUCUUGGUUCUC
rnacentral:misc_RNA from 1 species